rnacentral:rRNA from 1 species
UACGGAGGGUGCGAGCGUUGUCUGGAAUCAUUGGGCGUAAAGGGCGCGUAGGUGGCGGGACAAGCGUGCGGUGAAAGCCUGGGGCUCAACCCCGGGUCGGCCGUGCGAACUGUUUUGCUUGAGCACUGUAGAGGCAGGCGGAAUUCCGGGUGUAGCGGUGGAAUGCGUAGAGAUCCGGAGGAACACCGGUGGCGAAGGCGGGUCUCUGGGCAACAACUGACGCUGAGGAGCGAAAGCGUGGGGAGCGAACAGG